rnacentral:rRNA from 1 species
UUGAUCAUGGCUCAGAUUGAACGCUGGCGGCAUGCCUUACACAUGCAAGUCGAACGGCAGCACGGAGCUUGCUCUGGUGGCGAGUGGCGAACGGGUGAGUAAAAUAUCGGAACGUACCCAGGAGUGGGGGAUAACGUAGCGAAAGUUACGCUAAUACCGCAUACGUCCUAAGGGAGAAAGUGGGGGAUCGCAAGACCUCAUGCUCAUGGAGCGGCCGAUAUCUGAUUAGCUAGUUGGUGGGGUAAAGGCCUACCAAGGCAACGAUCAGUAGCUGGUCUGAGAGGACGACCAGCCACACUGGAACUGAGACACGGUCCAGACUCCUACGGGAGGCAGCAGUGGGGAAUUUUGGACAAUGGGGGCAACCCUGAUCCAGC